rnacentral:rRNA from 1 species
GACGAACCGUGCGAACGUUGUUCGGAAUCACUGGGCUUAAAGGGCGCGUAGGCGGGUUCGCAAGUCGGGGGUGAAAUCUUCCAGCUCAACUGGAAAAGUGCCUCCGAUACUGCGAGUCUCGAGGGAGGUAGGGGCAUGUGGAACUAAUGGUGGAGCGGUGAAAUGCGUAGAUAUCAUUAGGAACGCCGGUGGCGAAAGCGACGUGCUGGACCUCUUCUGACGCUGAGGCGCGAAAGCUAGGGGAGCGAACGGG